CUUAUUUUACGUUUGAUUCUAGCGUAAUAUCAACGUUAUCUAAUUGCUUAAAACAUGCGAAUAUACAAAAAGAGUUUUGUUGUGUUUGGAGAGUAAUAUAAAAGUAGUUAUUUGUAAGUAAUAAGGAUAAAUUUUUUUCCUUGUUGAGAGUGAUAAAGUUAAACACAAUUACUGACUUACGUUUUUCUUUUAUAGGAUUAGAUGGUUGAUUAGCUAUAAUUUUUCAAGUCAGUUAUCCUUAGCAGUUUUUUCCGAUUUUUCUGCCUCAAUAGUUUUCGCUAUAUUUCUUUUAGAAAUCAGCAGUUAGGAAUAUUGAACAAUGAAAUAACUUUUGAUUCAGCGAAUUAGAUUAGCAAAAUUAUCCGUUUGGAAUUAAGGCUGUGAUAGGAAAAUAAUGAUUUCAAAACGGUAAACAUAGAUUUACCUCAAAAUAAUGCUGAUAAAUUAAGUGCCAGAAAUCUCGGUAAUGCUUAAAGCAUGAACGUUAUAUUAAUUAUUAGGUUUAAAUAGUAAGCAGGAAAAGUUUUAAGCUUUAAAAGAAAUACCAAAAUUAAUGGUUUUAUAAUAAGAAACUAGUAGCUUUUUAAUGUUAUUAAAAGAGUAUAGAAUAAAAAGUGUAGCGAUAAUAUGUUACUAUUAUUUUUAGAAUUUCAGCGGUUAAUUCGAUACUCUUGAUAAAAGCAUAUAAUCUUCGGUUACGAAAGCUUAAGAAUCAAAGGGAAUUAGAGACUCCCGUAGUUUGGGCUAUCAAUAAGGAUUAUAUUUUACAAAUACGUUUUUGUUAAAAAGUUAAAGUUAGGAUAAUCUACCUAAAAAGUAUAAUCGCAAGAUUGAAAUUUAAAGAAUCAGACGAGAAAGAAGAUCGUUUGUGGAUCGUGCUAUUUAAUUCGAUAAAACGCGCAAACCUUACCAAAAUUUGGAAUAUAAACACGUAUUAAUUUUGUUUUUAUUUUUCGUUUUUACAGCUGUUGCAUGGUUGUUGUCAGCUCUUAUUUUAUAACGUGCAGUUAAAUCUGUUAAAGUGCGAAACUUUUAUUUUAAGGUAAUUGUUCCUAAAAAAUUGCGUUUACAAAAUGCAUAAAAAAAAAUGACUUCUAAAUCUUUAUGACGCUUAUGUUUUGGGCUUUGAAUGCGAUACAUUGUAAGCAAAUAAUUCGUUAAAAUCUGUUUGAAAUGGAACUAAUCGAAAUUUAAACUUAAAAAGCUUGCGAAGUUCGAAUUGCUUUUUGAAACUCAAAAGCAUAAAGAAGGAAUAAACAGUAAUGUUAAAUUAGAGCGUUAACGUGAAACGAAUUAUUUUUUUCUAUACUUUUCGCCCGUCACUUCCUUAGAUUAAAAAUUAAUAAGAUAAUGAAAGUAAUACAGUUUCAAAAUUAAAGUUUAAAGCUUUAGAUUUUUGUUACGCGUUAAUUUUUGAGAUUAGGAAUAAGUCGUAACAAAGUAAUCGUAGAUGAAUCUGUGAUUGGAAUAAGAUUUUU
rnacentral:rRNA from 1 species